rnacentral:lncRNA from 1 species
GAGCACUUUACAGAUUGACAGCCAAUAAACCACUUCACCCAGUGGAGAAAUAGAGCAAAAACAAGAGGUCUGUAGUUGAAGUUCUAGAAAUACGUAGGUCUUUAAAAUAAUCCUACAUUUCAAUUGCCCUUUUAACCUCUUAUAAAGUCACUGCCAUUGGACAGUGAACUGGAGCCAACAGGAUGAACAAGAAGCAGCGGGAAGAUGUUCAUGAUAUGCUGGAGAGACAGGAGCUUGGUCUGUAUAUGUGACUUGGGAGUUAUGCACCAAUUAUCAUUCUUUUCUUAAAACAACCAUAAGACACAUUUUAAAUGCUUUUGGGAAGCUUGUCAUUCAAAAGAGUUACUCCAGUUAACUCACUUUAAGCAAGAAAUAAUUUUAAGCAACAAAUAAUCUUUUACCAAUUUAACAGUUUUAUAAAGUUGGGGUUUUAUGUAUCAGGAUAUGCUGUAUUUUCAAUCUUGAAUAAUAAUAAUAAUCUUGGGCCAGGCACGAUGGUUAAGGCCUGUAAUCCCAGCACUUUGAGAGACUGAAGUGGGAGGAUCACUUGAGGCUAGGAGGUCAAGUCCAGCCUGGGGAAACAUCCUAUCUCUACAAAAGAUUAAAAAAAAAUUCACCUGUCAUGGUAGCAUGUGCCUGCAGUCCUAGCUGAGGACUAGCUGAGGCAGGAAGAUCACUUGAGCCCAGGAGUUUGAGGCUGCAGUGAGCUAUGAUUGAGCCACUGUACUCCCAUCUGGGUGACAGAGCAAGAUCCUGUCUCUAAAAAUAUUUUUUUAAAUAAAAACAUUAAAAUAAAUAAAAAUAAACUUGGAUAUUAAUAACGAUAAUGAUGAUGAUAAUUGCCAACGUUACAGGCCAAGCAGACGAGGAGUCUGGCACAGGAUGGGCCCCCACGGUUGUAGAAUCAGUGAGAAAAGCCUUACAGACUGAAAGAAGAAUACUUCCAAAAAAAUCCGAAUCCUACGGUGAUUUUUUUUUUUUGAGACAGAGUCUCGCUCUGUUGCCCAGGCUGGAGUGCAAUGGCACGAUCUUGGCUCACUGCAACCUCCACCUCCCAGGUUCAAGCGAUUCUUCUGCCUCAGCCUCCCGAGUAGCUGAGACUACAGGUGCCCACCACCAUGCCAGGCUAAUUUUUGUAUUUUUUAGUAGAGAUGGGGUUUCACCAUGUUGGCCAGGCUGGUCUUGAAUUCCUGACCUUGUGAUAUGCCCACCUCAGCCUCCCAAAGUGCUGGGAUUACAGGCGUGAGCCACUGCGCCCGGCUCCUACAGUGAUUUUAAAAAUCAGAUCCUACAUUUCAAAUGAAAACUUGUUAAGGUCAAAACAGUAAAACCUCAAAUUCCCUUGUCUGGGGCCAGAUCUUGAGGUCAAAAGGAAAAUAAACACGACUGCAGGCCCAGGCAAACCACAAGGCUGGCGCUGCUCCACAUCCUUCGGGAGGCCUGGAGCCAUGUGGGCUCCACUCCCCAAGGGAGGCUGUAGCUGGCUUCAGGGCAACUGAAGCUCUGGGAGCAGCUGGGGCCCCAUCUGGCUUCCAGGUCAACUUUGUUCUAAGCUUUUCUCUGCACCUGGAAGUGCUCCUGGUUUCUGCUGAAAGGGCACAUGGAGAAUGAGCCUUGAAGGCUUCAUAUGACACCCUACAGCUUUCAGCUCUCUUGCCUGCGGCUCUACUGGCCUGGCUGGCCCAUGGGGACAGUAGUCACUGGGACAUGUUCCUUGGCAAAGGGUCACCACUGGCUGCCGGGAUAGAAAAGCAGAAGAACCAGGCUGCAGAGCUGUGCAUGAUUAAGUGCAAAUAACUGAAGUGCAAGCAGCAGCCAUCUGGGUUGAGGAUAAAGGAAACAUCAGAGUGGCUUACAGCCACCAGUGCUGUCACCAGGGCUCUAUGGACAGUGGCAAGUAUGGCACAGGCAAUAAAACUGUCUGCAGCACCAUUUUUGAAGAAUACAAACAGGACAGGUACAUAUGCAGAGGCAUAGUCCUCCAGCCUGGCCUGCGGACACAUUUCAGGAAGGUACUUCUCCAGACGUGGGGUUUUCCAGCCUCCCUUAUGGAAUCAGAGGAUGGCCAGUGGUGCUCUAAGUCAGGCCUGGUCCUCCUCCAACACUGUCCUUUAUAAAGGGAGAGGUACAAAGGGAGAAGAAAGCACUGCAGUGUGAGUCCAACUUGCCCCAAACCAGUUUCCCUCCAGAGCAAACCAGAGAAACCAGAACUAUGCACAGCUCUCUUCAGGUGUGUGAGGGCUGUAACGGCUACAGAUUGAAAAUGGAAAAACAUCCCCUGAUGCCUGCAUCCUCUCAGGUCAGUGUGUUACCUCUGUGCCUAUUUAAAAAUAACCACAGAAUGACUUUUCUAAGGUUAUUCAUUCACACGUGGAUAGGUUUGUACAGAUUAACACAUUUAGUCUUUCUAAAGAAAAAUAAUUGGAAUCUCUGAGGCUAACAUGCAUAUUUAGUUUUAUCUUCACAUGUAAUUAUUUUUACAGCAACUUGUUGGAAGUGGCCUCUCAGCAGCUCUCACCUUAAAAUAAAUCAUAGGAAAUUUGUAUGAUUCUUCAAGAGCCACCGAUGCACUGGUUGAGGUGGUUUUUUAAUGAACCACCUGUGAUAAACUCAUAAUAGCAAAGUGACCUGAGGUUCAAAAGUUGGACCAAAACAAACCGUCAUUUAAACUAGGACUCAUGGGUCAAAUCUGGCCCUCUGCCUGUUUUUAUAAAGUUUUACUGGAUCACAGCCAUGCCCAUUUAUUUGAGUGUUGUCUAUGGCUGCUUUCACAAUACAAUGGCAGAGUUGAACAGUUGCAAGAGACUGUAGGGCCUGCAAAGCCUGAAAUAUUUACCACUGGCCCUUUACAGAAAAGGUUAGCCAACCUUCAUCCAAAGCGAGGUCCCUAGACUGCAGGACUGGCAUCACCUGGGUGCUUGUGGCAACUGGAGAGCCUCAGACUGCACCCCAAAGGAAUCUGUGUUUGAACAAGAUCUCCAGGUGAUUCUGAUGCAAGCUAAAGCAUGAGAAACUUAAAUGGCCAAACAAAAUCCCUGGGGAAUGUGUUAAAAAUGAAGAUGCCGAUUUAUUAAGUCUGGGGUGGAGCCCAGGAUUCUGCAUUUCUAAGAAACUCUCAGGUGAUGCUGAUGCUGCUGGUCCUCGGACCACACUUUGAGUAGCAAGGGUCUGGUAUUUUACCCUGGCAUUAUCUACCAGCAAAAUUACCAAUGGCACUUGCUGGAAAAGUUUCAAAAGGGGCAGCCAGACUAUUACUAAACAGU